AAGUCGUAACAAGGUUUCCGUAGGUGAACCUGCGGAAGGAUCAUUAAUGAGUUAGGGUCCUCACCGGCCCGACCUCCAACCCUUUGUCGUUCAAACAAAACCUCUGUUUGCUUUGGCGGGGACCGCCGGCCUAACCGCCGGCGCGCCGGUCCUCGGCCCGGCGAGCGCCCGCCAGAGUCCAACCUCAAAACUCUUUUGCAAUCAACAGUUCUGUCUGAGUAAAAUGAUAAAUCAAUCAAAA
rnacentral:misc_RNA from 1 species